UACAGAGGUCUCAAGCGUUGUUCGGAUUCAUUGGGCGUAAAGGGUGCGUAGGCGGCGCGGUAAGUCGGGUGUGAAAUCUCGGAGCUUAACUCCGAAACUGCAUUCGAUACUGCCGUGCUUGAGGACUGGAGAGGAGACUGGAAUUUACGGUGUAGCGGUGAAAUGCGUAGAGGUCAUGAGGAAGACCAGUGGCGAAGGCGGGUCUCUGGACAGUUCCUGACACUGAGACACGAAGGCCAGGGGAGCAAACGGG
rnacentral:rRNA from 1 species